UAUCUUUCAUAAUAGAAACCUCACCACUCCACAGAACGUCCUUCCCUGAUUCAUUUCUUUUCCUAUUGCGGAUUGUCUUAGUGAGCUGAUUUGUCAGUCACAGCCACCACAACAGUUGAUCCAUGGCUGCAGUCCUUUCCUUUGACACCUCUGUGACCAGCAAGAUAUUACCUGGAGGAAAGGGAGUGGUUGGUUCUCUCUUCCAAGCUCUCACGGGCACAAUGAGUUCAUAUGAACACAUCAGUACCGUAUGAGCUUGUUUUUCCUAAGAUGGAAUCAAGUCACUUCAUGUUUACCUUGCUCUGUUUGGAUGCAGGAAACAGAAAGUGAACGUACCCUGUCCUAAGAGGUUGCGCUGCCUCAUCUGCAACAAGCUGUGACCCAAUAACCGGGAGAAAUGAUGGAAGCUUUUUUAUCAGACAUCUCUAGCCUUUUCAUUAGGUAAUUGGGUAUCUACACUCUUUCUGAAAGCAGGGUUAUUAAUAUUGCUGCCUUCUAAUUGCAAAUUUUGUUGCAAUGUUUCUUUACUUUUUCUUGGCAGGUGUUUUAAUCCCUUUUCAACCUACAAAGCUGCUGUCUAUAUCUUCUUUCUUCCUUGAACGUGGUUUUUGCAAUCUUGACUGUUUGUAGAAAGAUUAAAACAGUUAUAUGUGUAUAUAACAUCAGCAUCAAGAUACAUUAUCACCAAUUUUUUU